rnacentral:rRNA from 1 species
AUUGAACGCUGGCGGCAGGCCUAACACAUGCAAGUCGAACGGUAACAGGAAGCAGCUUGCUGCUUUGCUGACGAGUGGCGGACGGGUGAGUAAUGUCUGGGAAACUGCCUGAUGGAGGGGGAUAACUACUGGAAACGGUAGCUAAUACCGCAUAACGUCGCAAGACCAAAGAGGGGGACCUUCGGGCCUCUUGCCAUCGGAUGUGCCCAGAUGGGAUUGGCUAGUAGGUGGGGUAACGGCUCACCAAGGCGACGAUCCCUAGCUGGUCUGAGAGGAUGACCAGCCACACUGGAACUGAGACACGGUCCAGACUCCUACGGGAGGCAGCAGUGGGGAAUAUUGCACAAUGGGCGCAAGCCUGAUGCAGCCAUGCCGCGUGUAUGAAGAAGGCCUUCGGGUUGUAAAGUACUUUCAGCGGGGAGGAAGGGAGUAAAGUUAAUACCUUUGCUCAUUGACGUUACCCGCAGAAGAAGCACCGGCUAACUCCGUG